rnacentral:lncRNA from 1 species
CAACCAUUAUCCCUUUGAAUAUUACCACUCCUGGACUCUGUACUCUUUUGUUCUAAAUUCUCACUGAAUAUAUAUUAGACUUUCUCAUUCUUUUCUCCAUCUCUUAUUCUUUCUGUCAUUUUUCCAUCAUUCUGCCUCUGUCUGUGUAUCAUUAUCGGUGAUUUAUUCAGAUCUAAUUUGCAGUUCACAAAUUCUCUCUUUAGCUAUGACCAAUUUACUGCUUAAACUCUCCAUCAGACUUUUCAUUUUUGUGAUAUUUUCCUUUACUUUUGUAUUUUUUAUCCAAAUAUGCCCAUUAUGUUUGCCUGUCAUUUUUGAUAGUACCUUGUUUCUUUUUCAUGUCAUUAGCUCUAGUUUCUAUUUCCAUCAACAUUUUGUCCAUAUAUAUGUAACAUUUUGAAAUUAAUAAUUCUAGUAUCUGAAAUCUUGGGUGUCGAUUAUUGAAAUUUACAGAUUCUGCUGACUCUUGUUCAUGAUGGCUUGUACCCAUUUGUGUUUUAUAAUUUCUGUUAGUGAGUUUUUAUUCAUGGGGCCUUAUCUGUAGUAAUCUUUACCAUACUAAGUUAAGGGCUCUUACUUCCAAGAAAGGCUUUUUGUUUGGUUUCCCCAAAUGUCUGAGGGGCACUGCAACUGAGGACCUCUUUAUGUUAAUGCCUUGGGCUUGACUUUGCAGAAACCUUACAAGUGGUGUGGUGAGCUUUUUUCAGCUAUCCAGAUCUCUGACCAGGACAGAUCAAUUUUUUAAUCUCCCUUUGCCAGAAAGAAUUUUCAAAGCCUACCCUUACACUGAGUGAGAUUCUGGCAUUAUACAGGAGGGUCUUGACUCUUCAUUGCUCAGCCUAAGGUUUACUUUCUAUCCCCAAAAGACUCUUUAAAGAUAGAUUCUUGGUUACCAAGAUUGGCUAAUUCCCUUUGAGUACCUGCAGAUUUAUGGCCUAGUUACUAGUCUAGUUUCAUAUUUUUUGUGACUUUGACCCUCAAAAAUCUUGUUUUACUUUCUAUAGGCUUAGCUGUGCACUUGAGAAAAUAUUUCUUAUACUUUAUUAUUUAUUUCUAGGCAUUUUCAGAUCAUCUUAAUAGUCAUAUUGUAGCAAAUAUAAACUUUUAAUCAUUUUCUUAACUCUCCGUUCCAAACCCCAUUCUGUGGUAGUCUUAUUCUUUUUCAUGCCCCACUAACCCAUCCCAGGUACAGCAGUAGCCACCACAGCAGGAACAAUCAUCUUCCCAUAAAGGAUCAUCACAUUCCUCUUAGGGUCCACUUCUCUACACUCUGACCUAAAACAUUUCUUUACUGAGACAACAAGUCUUGAUGAUAGUACAGCUCCAACUCAUCUGCAUUUCAUUUAUUUCCCAAGAUUCUUGUCAGCCUGCGGAUGUUCUCAAAUUCACAGACGAAUGUGGGGAAAAGGGGGAGGAGGGCAGCAGUGUUGACGACCUUCAGAAUAGACUUUAAUGAGAAUUCUUUUUUUUCAAUCCUGCUUCAUGUCUGCUAAGAUAUAUGGGGAUGAAGAAAAGUAAUAAAUUCUCUCAAUUGUAACCAAACAAGUACAGUCAUGGGUCACUUGACGACGGGGAUACAUUCUGAGAAAUGCAUCAUUAGGUGAUUUAGUUGCUGUGUGACAUCAUAGAGUGUAUUUACGCAAACGUAGAUGGUAUAGAUUACUACACACCUAGGCUCUAUGGCAUACCCCAUUGCUCCUAUGCGAUAAACCUAUACAGCAUGUAACUGUGCUGAAUACUGUAGGCAAUUGUAAUAAAAUGGUAUUUGUAUAUCUAAACACAGAAAAGGUAGAGUAAAAAUAUGGUAUAAAAAUAUAAAAUGGCACACUUGUAUAGGGCACCCUUACCAUGAAUGGAGCUUGCAGGACUGAAAGCUGCUCUGGGGUUGUUAGUGGACAUCAUCCGAGCAAAACUUGAAAAGUGCUUAUAUGACUGGGCUUACCUGUACAUGUUCCUGCUUUUACAUGAGAGGCACAUGCCUCCAAUAUAACCACUGGUCCAAGAAAGAUAGGAAAUACAUGGAGAAAACCUGGUUUCUAUCUGAAGUUUGGAGCCACCCCAACAAAAAAAAGCCUGAAGAAGGGGCACUCCAAGCCACUCAAAAACACAUGAGCAAGAAAUAAAUGCCUAUUGCUGAU